GCCUUUAUAGCUCAAUGGUAGAGUAUGAUACUGUUAAUAUUGUGACAGAUGUUAGAUUCAUCUUAAGGGCU
rnacentral:tRNA from 1 species